UGGGAGUCGCAGUUCGUCCGGGGCAACUUCUGCCUCUCAGGCUGGUUGCAGCCGGCGCCCCGGGCCAGCGCAGCCUGGGCCCCAGCCAUCCUGCCCCCUCUCCGGCCGGGAGAAGCGGGCGCUGGGCUCUGGGGCUCCCUGAGCCCGCGGAGGCCAGCGCCCAGGGCGCACAAGAAGAGCAGGGGUGGAAGAAGAAAGGAAUUUCAAGGAGGGCAUUGCUUAAAGGGACGUUUGGACAGAGCCAGUUUCGGUGCUGGGCCGCAGCUCAGUGCCUAAUUUUAAUCUCAGGACUGCAGCCUGCGACCCGUGGACGGUCUCCUCAAACUUCUUCCCUCACACCCGAGUCUCUUCCUCCCUAGGAGUCUCCUGGUGCAUGGAACUGACCUGAAACUGGGGUUCCCCAAAGCCUCUGCCUGCCUUCUGCAGCUGAGCUGCUUCAGCCUCUGUGGGACACCCAUUUGAAGGAACCUGUCCAAAUCCAUGUAAGAGAUCUUGUAUUUUUUCCCUCCCAGCUGAGACUUCCUCCUCUGCCAGACACCUGUUCCAAGGAAGCUCCUGCAACUAGGGUGUGGGCUUGUGUCGUGAAGGUUGAGUAUCCAGGGUGACAGUGAAGAAUCCAUACUCCCACCCAAGAGUGGAUUUCAGUGCUGAGAGGAAGAGGAGGAAGACAUCUUGCUGGCUUGUGCCCCAGGUCUGCCUCUGGAGAAACAGGGCAAGCUGGCCCAUGGAACAUGUCACACUCUUGCAACCGGGGCACCUGAUCAGGCUGGAUGUGCCCAUCAGAUGCUGAAGGCACAGCUGCGUCCCUGCCCUGAGGUGAGUCCAUUUGGCCAGAGCAGGAGCGGUGCCCUGUCUCCAACCCAAAUCCAUAAGCAUGUUCUGAGUGUUCCAACUCUUUCUUCAACUCCAUCCCUGAGCCCGGAGUCUCAGCCAGGCGUCUGCCAGGGGCUCUGCCUGGGCUGGGGUUCAGCCUGGUGACCUUCAGUCUAACACCACCUCUCAGCCCUUCCUCCUGUUUCUCAGGAGCCCUAGAAGCUACCCUGGCCUGGGGCCCGGGAAGCUCCAUUUUGUUUCUCCUCAGCUGGGGAGCUGAACGAAUGCCCUCGACACUGGGGUCUUUCUCUCUCAGUCCCCCAGAGCCCUCACCCCAACUUACCCCGCCUCAGUACAUAAAAACCUCUGCAUCUCCACCAUGGGGUACCGAGAGCCUUUAACUCAGUCCCAGCUGCCUUCCCGCCCAGGCCCUUCCCUUAGUUCUGCUCCUUAAAACCACGAUUGCAGACAGGACAUAGAGGUUCAGGUGGAAGGGGAACAAAGACAUUUGGGGAGAACUCCUGAAAGAUAAAGCCCAGGGAAUCCUGUCUGGCCCCCCAAAUAGCACCACUUUUACAAGCUCCAUUCACGACCACUGGCCCCUUUGGACACGUGAUGCCUUUACAGAGGCUGCAGGUUUGGUAGUUUCAAGGCGAAGAUUCAAGACAGAUAUUGGGGGUCCAGUGUCCUUGCCCCUUGAGAAACAAAAAGCAAACCAACCCCAGAGAACACGUCCACCUCUCUGGCCCCUGGGCAACCAGAGCCGGAUGGAACCACCCAUCAGAGGCAGAAGACACACAUCUUUCUGCCCCCUGAGGUCAGUUGAUUUGUGCCAGAGAGUCAGUGGUGCGCUGUGAGCCAUCUUAACACAUCCUAGGGCUCCCACUAACCCGUCUUUGCACCAGCAUCCAGGGGGCUUCAGAUGGGCUUUGUCUGUGCUCUGGCCCCUCCCGGAGGCCGUCUCCUCUAACAAACACUGACUCUCAGCCUUUCCUCCGGUUUCCCUCAGCGGCCCCCCAGGGCUCUCCUGGCCUUGGGCAGCUGCAGGCUUGAAGGAAUUCCUCCUCACCUUCUAAGCCAAGUGAAGUGCCCAGAGAGAGGGGCAAUUCUCUCAAAGACUCCCAGCACACACCCCAACCGACCCCAACGUAAGGCCUUAAACCCUCUGUUUUCUCCACCCACAUGUGCCAUGAGAG
rnacentral:lncRNA from 1 species